GGGCGUGUGAGUGGUGUUUGGAAUGUUGGGAUGGUAGGCUCCGUGCUUUUUGCAUCGAACUGCUAGACCGCAAUCCUUUUCAAGUCUCGAGCAUUGCUUUUAUGCUCGGGUUAUCGACCGUGUUCCUGUAUUUGAUACCCAUGUCGGAGGAACUAGGCUUCUGUUCUCCCCAGUCCGCUCGAUGCCUCUUACGGGCAUCGAGCGGAGCACGUAGUUCGAUCUGUCGAGCCUAGCACGCCUUCUCGGCUGCAACGGUCGUCGGAUCAAAGCUCGUGUUCUCGGAUGCAGAAUACUCGAUGGGUCCAAGGAUUGAAUCCUUGCAUUGGCCCUGUGUGGGAAAUCGUCCCUCGAUAAGAACGACGUCCGCCGUGCGUCGCGAUCCGUCCGAUGUCCUCUCGGGACGAGGACGCUUCGUGCGUGCGUCGGUGUCCUCGAAGGAAUGCUACCUGGUUGAUCCUGCCAGUAGUCAUAUGCUUGUCUCAAAGAUUAAGCCAUGCUGG
rnacentral:misc_RNA from 1 species